rnacentral:lncRNA from 1 species
CGCUCUGCACGCUGCCGCCGGGCCCCGAGCCGCCCCGCUUCGUGUGCUACUGCGAAGGGGAGGAAAGCGGGGAGGGGGACCGCGGCGGCUUCAACCUCUACGUGACCGACGCCGCGGAGCUUUGGAGCACCUGCUUCACGCCGGACAGCCUGGCGGCCCUCGUGGGUAACUGGGCGGGUCUGGGAGCCGCCACACCCCUCCUUGCAGUGCAGAUCGUCUAUGGGGCGACAGACAUCUGGGAUUCCCCAGAAGGCUCUGACACCCUCUGCCCGCCCUGUAGCUGUAGUCCUCCCAUUGGCUAGGGCUCUGGGGUCGGGCAGGUUUCGGGUGCCCCCAGUGGGCCUCGGGUUCCAGGCAGCUCGUGACAAGCCCCUGUGCUCUCUAGAAAGCCCGUUUUGGCCUGAGUGCGGCUGAGGACAUCACCCCCCGGUUCAGGUGAGACCCAAGCAGGGAGGAAGGACGGGUGGGGAGGAGGAGGGUCUGCCACAGCUCUCCGCACCUCUCCUCUCCCAGGGCAGCCUGUGAGCAGCAAGCUGUGGCUCUGACUCUGCAGGAGGACAGAGCAUCCCUGACGCUUUCAGGGGGGCCCUCGGCACUGGCCUUUGACCUCUCCAAGGUACCAGGCCCAGAGGCAGCCCCCAGGCUGCGGGCGCUGACACUGGGCCUGGCAAAACGCGUGUGGAGCCUGGAGCGGCGACUGGCAGCUGCAGAAGAGACAGCUGUCAGCCCGAGGAAGAGCCCCCGGCCUGCAGGGCCUCAG